rnacentral:rRNA from 1 species
GGGGACGGGAAGCUUCGCGUCUAUACCCUUUGUGACAUACCUAUAACUGUUGCUUCGGCGGGUAGGGUCUCCGCGACCCUCCCGGCCUCCCGCCUCCGGGCGGGUCGGCGCCCGCCGGAGGAUAACCAAACUCUGAUUUAACGACGUUUCUUCUGAGUGGUACAAGCAAAUAAUCAAAACUUUUAACAACGGAUCUCUUGGUUCUGGCAUCGAUGAAGAACGCAGCGAAAUGCGAUAAGUAAUGUGAAUUGCAGAAUUCAGUGAAUCAUCGAAUCUUUGAACGCACAUUGCGCCCGCCAGCAUUCUGGCGGGCAUGCCUGUUCGAGCGUCAUUUCAACCCUCAAGCUCUGCUUGGUGUUGGGGCCCUACAGCUGAUGUAGGCCCUCAAAGGUAGUGGCGGACCCUCCCGGAGCCUCCUUUGCGUAGUAACUUUACGUCUCGCACUGGGAUCCGGAGGGACUCUUGCCGUAAAACCCCCCAAUUUUCCAAAGGUUGACCUCGGAUCAGGUAGGAAUACCCGCUGAACUUAAGCAUAUCAAUAAGUCGGAGGAA